rnacentral:rRNA from 1 species
UACGUAGGGGGCGAGCGUUGUCCGGAUUUAUUGGGCGUAAAGAGCGUGUAGGCGGCCAGGUAGGUCUGCUGUGAAAACUCGAGGCUCAACCUCGAGACGUCGGCGGAAACCAUCUGGCUAGAGUCCGGAAGAGGAGAGUGGAAUUCCCGGUGUAGCGGUGAAAUGCGCAGAUAUCGGGAAGAACACCCGUGGCGAAGGCGGCUCUCUGGGACGGUACUGGACGCUGAGACGCGAAAGCGUGGGGAGCGAACAGG